rnacentral:lncRNA from 1 species
AGGGCACGCCUUAGGUCUCUGGAUGGCUACCAACCCCAGGUUCCCUCAGCUCUAGCCCCAUAAGAGAGGAGGCCUCAGGAGCGCCUAGGGCAGCCCUUUCAGCCUGGGCUGUGGGAAGGGAAGGUGGACAGAGAGGAGACCCCAUGCCUUUGUUCCCUGUUGAUGCAGAAGCAUUCUAGGCUCUGUCCCUUAUUCCUGCUGUGGGCUGAAGCUUCAGGCAAGAUCUAGGCUGGCUGGGGCGGUGGCUCAUGCCUGUAAUCCCAGCACUUUGAGAGGCCGAGACCGGUGGAUCACGAGAUCAUCAGGAGAUGAGACCAUCCUGGCUAACAUGUUAGCCUGGCCUCCAGAGCUCUUGGACUGCAGCACCCAUAAUGAUGGCCAAAGCCGCCCCCACGGCGACUCCUCCUGCUGAAGCAAAGUCAGGCAGAACAAUAAGAUGAGCAUGGUGGUGCAGGCCUGUAAUCUCAGCUCCUCAGGCGGGAGGAUCACUUGAUCCCCGGAAGUUUGAAGCUGGACUGCGCUGACCGCACCUGUGAAUACCACUGCCCGUCAAUCAGCCUAGGGGAAACAUUCUCGAGUGCGAGCAUGACGGCUUAGGUUGAUGUUUUUCAAAUUUUCCCAAUGAUGAGUAUUGUAAGGGACCAAAAUAAAAAAAUGCCAAUGCCUA